UCUGGUGGCUAUUGCAAGAAGGUCCCACCCGAUCCCAUUCCGAACUCGGACGUGAAACUUCUUCGCGCCAAUGGUACUUCAGCUUAAGCUGCGGUAGAGUAGGUCACUGCCAGAU
rnacentral:rRNA from 1 species